UGGGGGAUAAUGCACAAUGGGCGAAAGCCUGAUGCAGCGACGCCGCGUGGGGGAUGAAGGCCUUCGGGUUGUAAACUUCUUUUGCUCUGAACAAGGCAUGCCUUUGGGGUGUGUUGAGUGUAGGGGUUGAUUAGCGCCGGCUAACUACGUGCCAGCAGCCGCGGUAAUACGUAGGGCGCGAGCGUUGUCCGGAAUUAUUGGGCGUAAAGGGCUUGUAGGUGGCUGGUUGCGUCUGUCGUGAAAGCUCAUGGCUUAACUGUGGGUUUGCGGUGGGUACGGGCUGGCUUGAGUGCAGUAGGGGAGGCUGGAAUUCCUGGUGUAGCGGUGGAAUGCGCAGAUAUCAGGAGGAAUACCGGUGGCGAAGGCGGGUCUCUGGGCUGUUACUGACGCUGAGGAGCGAAAGCGUGGGGAGCGAACAGG
rnacentral:rRNA from 1 species